GGGAACGAGAUCCAUAAUUUUUCCCAGCCUACUAUAAAACAGAAUUAAAGCCAUACACUGCCAGGUAUGAUAGCCAUUGGCCAUAUAUGGUUAACAAGCACUUGAAAUAUGGAUAUUUCAAACACACUGUAAGUAUAAAAAACAUAUUAAACUAGCACUUAGUGGGAAAAAAGGACAUGAAAUACCUGACUAAAAUUUUGUAUUUAUUGUGUGUUUAAAUCACAACAGCUUAGAUAUGUUGGGUUACAUACCUAUAAUUUAAAAAUUAAUUUCACUUGAUUCUGUUUACUUUUAAAAUGUGGCUACUAGAAAAUUUAAAAUUACGCAUGAUACUUGAAUUACGUAUUAGAUAACAGUACUAGUCUAAUAGGCCUGGCUUCGGGCACAGUUUGGACAGCCAUGUGGAGAAAAGUGCCAUGUGCUGUUUGGCUGGGGUCACUUGUCUGGGGGUGAGUGGAUGCUGUGGGUCAAUUACAACAUCCUUCACAAGAGUUAAGCAUGGAGGAGAACUGGGUGUCUCCAUUUUCAUCCACGACUGUCAUAGAUAAAAACUGACUUUUUAGUAAAUUUAAUCUACUCUGGGAUUGGAAAGAAUGCAAACUCUCCCACACCCACUCUUCUUUUCUUCCUUUUGGGCCUAUUUCUUAGUCUCCAUGACUUCUCCUGGCCAUGGAAUGGACAAGAUAGGGUGAAGAUUGAUGGAAAGAGGAGGGUGGGGUGAGGGUAUGCAUUAGAGAGUUAGCUGCACAAAUAGCUGAGAUUCCAUCACAAAGUGAAAAGAUAUAUCAGAAAUGCCAUGUCUGAACUGCUUUGAAUUAAAUUUGUUAUUUUAUCCCUUCCGAUGAUAAAUCAUUUCAGCAGAUAAUGUUUUUCUGCCUUGUUGUGUUAGCUGGCUUGGAGAAGGGCAUAGAAAGACUUUGGUAAGUAGAAACGGGUGGUUGGUGGAUUCUUUACCUGAGCCCCUGUCUUUGGGUGGAAAGAAAUGGGCAGGGUUAGCACACUACUUAGUUCCUCUGCAACUCCUAAAUUGAAAUUCCUUACCAGGAUUGCUUUUUAAACUCUUUGUAUUUCUUAUCUACUCUGUUGGUCCCAUACACACUACACAUUUUUAGUUAUCACAAUCAGAGUCUCCCCCAAAUGCUCACUGGCCCCUCUGUUUGUAACACUCAGUGUGUGGUUACACUCAGUGGGUUUUCUGUAUGCCAUCCUGUGUUCUUAUCUGUUUUCAGUGUCAUCCAGACUACCUGCUUCAGAAUGAUCUGAUGGUGCAUACUGCUGGUUUUCAAGUGGAAACUUUCUAAUUAAGAAACCCAGGAAGAAAUCAGUACAGCAAAGUCUCAAGUUCCCAAGACUGGCCUAACACUUGGCAUCUUCCUGCCUCAGCCUUCCAUAGCUGGACUUGGAUGUGUGCACCACUGCCCUGAGCUAGGAGUUUUGGGAAAACAAGAUUCUUUGAAUAAGUGGGUCGUGUUCAUCAGCUUUUUCCAGCUAGCAAAGCCCGUGAAUGGUCUCAUCCAGUCUUGUGACUUCUAGAGAGACAGAACUUCAAAUUCACAUCUCUGGCUGCCAGGCUAAGUGGCUCUCAAAGUUCCCAAGAGUCUUGCUGAAUCACUAAAGUUGCCCAGGCUGGGAUUGAACUUGGAUCCUCCUGUUUUAGCCCCUCCAAGUGUACAGCUAUUUUCAACUGGCGUGUCAUUGUUAAUGAAGACUGGGCAGGAGGGUCCAUGAUGGAAAGACUGUAUCUGGGAAUUAGAAAUCCCAGUCUACACUGUGCUGACCUAUAUGACCUGUGAAAACUUCUUUCUUUGUUUUCUAAAAAGUGUGGAAGUAGCUGGAAAACUAUAGGGUUGUUUCUUGCUAAAAACUUCAUUUUUAGGAAAAAGAAGUGACAGCAACCUUUGUUCUCUUCCUUCUUCCAUCUGCCUGUCUCCUUCCUGCACCACGGAAAGAGGCCCAUCACUGUAGGGCCCAGCCCAGACCGGGGAGCAGGCAGUCUCGAUCUGAAUCCAGGAGCUGCUUCUAACCCGCUGUGCGACUGAGGAUAAACGACCUAACUUCACUGAGCCUCUUUUCCUCAUCUGGAAUGGAAAUAAAUAAUUCCAACUCUGCACUGCCAUGUGGAUUACAAGAGAUCAUGCUAAUUGCAUUGCACAAAAAGUGGCACAAAGUAAAAAUCCUGUAGCUGUUAUGAGAAGAUGAGUGGAAGGGAAGAGGCCACAUAUUGCAGGCUUUGAGAACUGGAGCAACCCAGAGAUUGUCCAUCUGUGCGAAGUGAGUCCAGAGGUUUGCAAACUGACCUAGAGGGGAGGCUUCUCAAAUUCAUUUGUUGUAGGACACGCACAGAAAAUAAGAAGAGGAUUCUUUUAUAAGAGCAAAGAGUUGGAGGCCACCAUCUCCAAACAAUUGCCUUUGCCAUUUUCCUUUUUUACCCAUAGUAAUUACAGAGGAAAAUGGAUCUCUUCACAGUAGAUAGAUAUAUUUCUCCAAAUGCUCUCUUUCCGGUGUAGAGAACAAAAUGCCUGCCUCCUAGCCAAGCCUGGUGCCACACACCUGUAGUCCCGGGCUUGCAAGGCUGAGGCGGGAGGAUUACAAGUCUGAGUCUAGCUAAUAACUUAGCAAAAACUCAGGUCAAAAUAAAAAAUAGCUAAGGAUUUAGCUCAGUGCCCCUGGGUUUGAUUCUCAGUACCACUACCACCACCACCACCCACACAAAAAUAAUAAUCAUAAAAUAAAAUCCAGGCACAGUGGCUGCUCAAGGCUGGCCUGAGAAACUGCAAAUUCAAGGCUGGCCUGAGAAACUUAGCCAGUUAGUGAGAGCCUGUCUCAAAAUUUAAAAAUCAAAAAAGGGCUGGGGAUGUAGCUCAUUGUCAAGGUCCUGGAUUCAACCCCCAGUAUCAAAGAACAAAAAACAAAAAACAAAAAACCCCACCUCCAGUAGAAAAUAAGUGCCUGUCCCUUGAGAUUUUAUCUGACCUCAGUAUAAUAGAAAGCUAUGAUUUUCUAAAUUAAAGUAACUUUUAAAAAAUUCAGUGCUGAUGGCCUUACAACUAUAUCAUUCAUGGCAUCUCAUGAAGUCCCUUUUCUUUCUAUAGGCCAUCAUUAUCCUCCUCUGUGAUAUAUAAGUCUUGCAUGUUUUAGAUGUAAUUUUUGGAAAUGAAGGAACAAUAGUUAAAUUAUCUGGGCUCUAGAAAAAACAAAGGAUCUUUAUUUCAGCCAUCCAUCGAGAUACCUAGAGUAUUACAUGUUAUAACUCAAAUGAAAAUAUUUCACAUAAAAGUUCAGAGUCCUUGUCCAUGAUAUCAUUAAAGGAAAUCAUUAAGCAUUUAUGCAGCACUUUGAGCCGGAAAAGAUCUUCAUGGUUUUUUUUAUUGCUCACCAAAACCCUCUGAGGCAAGUCCUUCCUUACACUUUAAAACCAAAGCAAGGGAAAGGGAUUAAAUUACCUAGGUUUUAGAAUAAAUGACUGGAUCAGAAUGAGGCCUUUGAUGCCAAAGUCAGCUGUUUUAACCUACCAAACCAUUAGAUUAAAAAUUUUGUUUACUGCAUAAAGUGUCAUCUGAUGGGAGACUGGCAUUUUUUUUAGUACCUAGAGCACUGAUGGUACAACCAUUGUACAUGAGCUACUGUUACGGCUUGAAUAUGGUUUCUUCCCUCUGAAAAGAAACUCAUGUUGAAAUUGAAUCCCCAUUAUGAGCUAUUAAAAGGUAAGAGGAGGAGGAGAUUUAAGAGGUGAUUAGGGCUCUUACCUAUAAGUAGGUUCAUCCAUUCAUGUGAUUAGUAGAUUAUCAGGUUAUCUUGAGAGAGGGUCAGCUAUAAAGGCAGUUUCUCUAGAUCUCCCAGACUCUCAGGCACAUGAUGCCCAGUACCAUCUCGGGACUCAGCCAGCAAGGAAAGUCAUGACCAGAUGUGGCCUCUGGACCUUGAACCAAACCAUGGGCCAAAAUAAAUCUCUUUUCUUUAUAACUUACCCAGUUUGUGGUACUGUGUUUUUAGUACCAGGUAAUGGACUGACAAAUCUACUAGUUAGCAAAUAAGUAAAUAAGUAAGUAAUUAAAUAAAUAAAUAUCACUGUUUAAUAAUGAACCACUCUGAAAAGCACUAAGUUCCUGAAGAAAAUGAAGAAAAACAGUCGAUGUAUGUAAUGUGAUUGAAAAAUAUGGUGAAUGAUUAAAUUACAAAUAUAACCAAAGGCAUAUUGUCAUUAAGCUCCCUCAGAAUGCUUUCUGUCGUUUUAAGCACACUGAUCCCAUCAUUCUGGCCACUUUCUGAAGCAGUUCUGAAAAUUCUCUUUCAUGUCUUUAGUUGAGUUGUUGUGGCUGCUUUAGUGUCCACAGUUGAUUUAAAACAUGUACCUUUCAUGGUCAUUUUGACUUUUAGGAAAAGCCAGAAGUUGCACAGUGUCAGGUCUGGUGAAUAAGGUAGAUGAGAACACAUCAGAAUGUUUUUACCAGGCUGCCUUUCCAUUGGGUGGCACUUGCCACAACACUCAUGUGUUUUCAAUCACACCUUGUAAAGACACUCAUGAAAGAAAACGUCCAGAACUGCUUCAGAAAGUGGCCAUGGUGAUGGGAUGGAUGAGUUCAAAAUGAGGAAGAGGGAACAACAAGGAGGAGUAUUUUUAGAGGGAUUAAUCACAUUGUGUCUUUUGCGGUAAUAAAUUUUUAAAAAUUCAAACAUUCACUAUAUGUUUAGAUCAUACUUUGUAUCUUUUUUUGAAGAAGCACUGGGAACUGAAUCCCCA